rnacentral:rRNA from 1 species
AUUGAACGCUGGCGGCAGGCCUAACACAUGCAAGUCGAGCGAGCGGCGGACGGGUGAGUAAUGUCUGGGAAACUGCCCGAUGGAGGGGGAUAACUACUGGAAACGGUAGCUAAUACCGCAUACCAUCAGAUGUGCCCAGAUGGGAUUAGCUAGUAGGUGGGGUAACGGCUCACCUAGGCGACGAUCCCUAGCUGGUCUGAGAGGAUGACCAGACACACUGGAACUGAGACACGGUCAAGACUCCUAAGGGAGGCAGCAGUGGGGAAUAUUGAACAAUGGGCGCAAGCCGGAUGCAGCCAUGCCGCGUGUAUGAAGAAGGACUUCGGGUUGUAAAGCACUUUCAGCGGGGAGGCGUUACCCGCAGAAGAAGCACCGGCUAACUCCGUGCCAGCAGCCGCGGUAAUAC